rnacentral:ribozyme from 1 species
UAGCCAUUUUGGCUCAAGCAUUUGGAGGGGCAUCUUUCCCUCAU